rnacentral:rRNA from 1 species
GGGGAAUUWGGGUUCGAUUCCGGARAGGGAGCCUGAGAAACGGCUACCACAUCCAAGGAAGGCAGCAGGCGCGCAAAUUACCCAAUCCCGACACGGGGAGGUAGUGACAAUAAAUAACAAUACGGGGCUCUUUCGGGUCUCGUAAUUGGAAUGAGUACAAUUUAAAUCCCUUAACGAGGAACAAUUGGAGGGCAAGUCUGGUGCCAGCAGCCGCGGUAAUUCCAGCUCCAAUAGCGUAUAUUAAAGUUGUUGCAGUUAAAAAGCUCGUAGUUGAAUUUCGGGAUUGACACAUCGGUCGUGCCUUAAGGGGUAUGAACUGGUGUAGUCAAUUUCUCACCUUCUGGAGAACGGCGAUGCCCUUAAUUGGGUGUCGCGGGGAACCAGGACCUUUACUUUGAAAAAAUUAGAGUGUUUAAAGCAGGCAUUUUGCUUGAAUACAUUAGCAUGGAAUAAUAAAAUAGGACGGCAUGAUUCUAUUUUGUUGGUUUCUAGGAUCACCGUAAUGAUUAAUAGGGAUAGUUGGGGGCAUUAGUAUUCAAUUGUCAGAGGUGAAAUUCUUGGAUUUAUUGAAGACUAACUACUGCGAAAGCAUUUGCCAAGGAUGUUUUCAUUAAUCAAGAACGAAAGUUAGGGGAUCGAAGACGAUCAGAUASCCGUCGUAGUCUUAACCCAUAAACUAUGCCGACUAGGAAUCAGACGAUCGUUAAUUUUUUAAUGACUCGUUUGGCACCUUACGGGAAACCAAAGUGUUUGGGUUC